AUUGAACGCUGGCGGAAUGCUUUACACAUGCAAGUCGAACGGCAGCACGGACUUCGGUCUGGUGGCGAGUGGCGAACGGGUGAGUAAUACAUCGGAACGUGCCCAAUCGUGGGGGAUAACGUAGCGAAAGCUACGCUAAUACCGCAUACGAUCUAAGGAUGAAAGCGGGGGAUCGCAAGACCUCGCGCGAAUGGAGCGGCCGAUGGCAGAUUAGGUAGUUGGUAGGGUAAAGGCCUACCAAGCCGACGAUCUGUAGCUGGUCUGAGAGGAUGAUCAGCCACACUGGGACUGAGACACGGCCCAGACUCCUACGGGAGGCAGCAGUGGGGAAUUUUGGACAAUGGACGCAAGUCUGAUCCAGCCAUUCCGCGUGCAGGAUGAAGGCCCUCGGGUUGUAAACUGCUUUUGUACAGAACGAAAAGGCUCUGGUUAAUACCUGGGGCUCAUGACGGUACUGUAAGAAUAAGCACCGGCUAACUACGUGCCAGCAGCCGCAGUAA
rnacentral:rRNA from 1 species